GACACUAUUAGUUGCUGCGCUCGAGUUCAACGUGGCACGCACAGCCAGCAAUACGAAUGAGACUUAAAAACUGAACAGUUUUUAAAUGAGACCCCUGGUGAUUCAUGUGCAGGAAAAGGCAUCGCAAAAAGGUGGCCACAAGACACAGGAGCAUAAUGAAGAAUGGUCCAGAUGGUCAUCCUGACUGUACAUGCAGAGGAGACAACAGAAGACAAGUUAUAGGAAAUUCUGGUCACUUAUGUUUGUGGGCCCCACAACAUCAUUUCCUGUUCCUGCCCCGAUGACCUCAUUUCCUCUGCCUGACCAUAAAACCACCAUUUUUGCAUCCUGUAAACCAGUUCCAUUUUGAACUCCAAAAAACUUUGCCUUAACAGAAUGACCUACAAUAUACAGGGCGGUUACCCCAAACCUUUUCUGGCUACUUUUUUGUUUUGUUGGUGUGAAAACGUAAUGUGAAUACAUAACCAAACUUAAAGAGAAAUAAAAUAAGAUAAAUAAGCCUUAAACAAGAACUUUUCCUUUCUGUAGAAUCAACUAUUUCUCUAUUUUUGUAUGAAGUGUUUCGCUUUGAAUUUACUAAAACAUUUAAAAUGAAGAUAUUUAUUCUGUGGAAUUAUUUGAGAAUGUGUCA